rnacentral:rRNA from 1 species
CCUACGGGUGGCAGCAGUGGGGGAUAUUGCACAAUGGGGGAAACCCUGAUGCAGCGACGCCGCGUGGGCGAAGAAGUAUUUCGGUAUGUAAAGCCCUAUCAGCAGGGAAGAAGAAAUGACGGUACCUGAGUAAGAAGCACCGGCUAAAUACGUGCCAGCAGCCGCGGUAAUACGUAUGGUGCAAGCGUUAUCCGGAUUUACUGGGUGGAAAGGGAGCGCAGGCGGGACGGCAAGCCUGAUGUGAAAGCCCGCGGCCCAACCGCGGGACUGCAUUGGGAACUACCGGGCUGGAGUGCCGGAGAGGUAGGCGGAAUUCCUGGUGUAGCGGUGAAAUGCGUAGAUAUUAGGAGGAACCCCAGUGGCGAAGGCAGCCUACUGGACGGUGACUGACGCUGAGGCUCGAAAGCGUGGGGAGCAAACAGGAUUAGAUACCCCUGUAGUC